rnacentral:rRNA from 1 species
CUACGGGCUGCAGCAGUGGGGAAUAUUGCACAAUGGAGGAAACUCUGAUGCAGCAACGCCGCGUGGAGGAUGACAUUUUUCGGAGCGUAAACUCCUUUUAUAUAGGAAGAAGAUGACGGUACUAUAUGAAUAAGCGCCGGCUAACUCCGUGCCAGCAGCCGCGGUAAUACGGAGGGCGCAAGCGUUACUCGGAAUCACUGGGCGUAAAGAGCGUGUAGGCGGAUUAAAAAGUCAGAAGUGAAAUCCUAUAGCUUAACUAUAGAACUGCUUCUGAAACUCUUAAUCUAGAAUAUGGGAGAGGUAGAUGGAAUUUCUGGUGUAGGGGUAAAAUCCGUAGAGAUCAGAAGGAAUACCGAUUGCGAAGGCGAUCUACUAGAACAUUAUUGACGCUGAGACGCGAAAGUGUGGGGAGCAAACAGGAUUAGAUACCCCUGUAGUC